GACGAACGCUGGCGGCGCGCCUAACACAUGCAAGUCGAGCGAAGCGGCGAACGGGUGAGUAACGCGUGAGGAACCUGCCUCUCACAACGGGAUAGCCUCGGGAAACCGGGAUUAAUACCGUAUGGUGAGAGAUGGCCUCGCGUCUGUUUAGUGAGUUGGGAGGGUAACGGCCUACCAAGACGACGAUCAGUAACCGGCCUGAGAGGAUGAACGGUAACAUUGGAACUGAGACAAGGUGCAAACUCCUACGGGAGGGAGCAGUGGGGAAUCUUGCACGAUGGGGGGAACCCUGAGGCAGCGACGCCGCGUGAGCGAUUAAGGUUGGCGAAUCGUAAAGCUCUGUCCUAUGGUAAGCGGUACCAAAGGAGGAAGCCCCGGCUAACUACGUGCCAGCAGCCGCGGUAAUAC
rnacentral:rRNA from 1 species